CUCCUUGCUGGUGGCUCCAGGCAUUGGUCUACGAAGCCGAUUUUCCCAGGUUCGAUUCCUGGCAGGGAGACCA
rnacentral:tRNA from 1 species